rnacentral:rRNA from 1 species
GAUGAACGCUGGCGGCGUGCUUAACACAUGCAAGUCGAGCGAUGAAGUUUCCUUCGGGAAGCGGAUUAGCGGCGGACGGGUGAGUAACACGUGGGUAACCUGCCUCAUAGAGUGGAAUAGCCUUCCGAAAGGAAGAUUAAUACCGCAUAAUGUUGAAAGAUGGCAUCAUCAUUCAACCAAAGGAGCAAUCCGAUAUGAGAUGGACCCGCGGCGCAUUAGCUAGUUGGUGGGGUAACGGCCUACCAAGGCGACGAUGCGUAGCCGACCUGAGAGGGUGAUCGGCCACAUUGGGACUGAGACACGGCCCAGACUCCUACGGGAGGCAGCAGUGGGGAAUAUUGCACAAUGGGGGAAACCCUGAUGCAGCAACGCCGCGUGAGUGAUGAAGGUUUUCGGAUCGUAAAGCUCUGUCUUUGGGGAAGAUAAUGACGGUACCCAAGGAGGAAGCCACGGCUAACUACGUGCCAGCAGCCGCGGUAAUACGUAGGUGGCGAGCGUUAUCCGGAUUUACUGGGCGUAAAGGGAGCGUAGGCGGAUGAUUAAGUGGGAUGUGAAAUACCCGGGCUCAACUUGGGUGCUGCAUUCCAAACUGGUUAUCUAGAGUGCAGGAGAGGAGAGUGGAAUUCCUAGUGUAGCGGUGAAAUGCGUAGAGAUUAGGAAGAACACCAGUGGCGAAGGCGACUCUCUGGACUGUAACUGACGCUGAGGCUCGAAAGCGUGGGGAGCAAACAGGAUUAGAUACCCUGGUAGUCCACGCCGUAAACGAUGGAUACUAGGUGUGGGGGUUUCAACACCUCCGUGCCGCCGCUAACGCAUUAAGUAUUCCGCCUGGGGAGUACGGUCGCAAGAUUAAAACUCAAAGGAAUUGACGGGGACCCGCACAAGUAGCGGAGCAUGCGGUUUAAUUCGAAGCAACGCGAAGAACCUUACCUACACUUGACAUCCCUUGCAUUACUCUUAAUCGAGGAAAUCCCUUCGGGGACAAGGUGACAGGUGGUGCAUGGUUGUCGUCAGCUCGUGUCGUGAGAUGUUGGGUUAAGUCCCGCAACGAGCGCAACCCUUGUCGUUAGUUACUACCAUUAAGUUGAGGACUCUAGCGAGACUGCCUGGGUUAACCAGGAGGAAGGUGGGGAUGACGUCAAAUCAUCAUGCCCCUUAUGUGUAGGGCUACACACGUGCUACAAUGGCUGGUACAGAGAGAUGCAAUACCGCGAGGUGGAGCCAAACUUAAAAACCAGUCUCAGUUCGGAUUGUAGGCUGAAACUCGCCUACAUGAAGCUGGAGUUACUAGUAAUCGCGAAUCAGAAUGUCGCGGUGAAUACGUUCCCGGGUCUUGUACACACCGCCCGUCACACCAUGAGAGUUGGCAAUACCCGAAGUCCGUGAGCUAACCGCAAGGAGGCAGCGGCCGAAGGUAGGGU